GAUUAGUGGCGACGGGUGAGUAACACGUGGGCAAUCUGCCCUGCACUCUGGGACAAGCCCUGGAAACGGGGUCUAAUACCGGAUACUGACCAUCUUGGGCAUCUUCGAUGGUCGAAAGCUCCGGCGGUGCAGGAUGAGCCCGCGGCCUAUCAGCUAGUUGGUGAGGUAAUGGCUCACCAAGGCGACGACGGGUAGCCGGCCUGAGAGGGCGACCGGCCACACUGGGACUGAGACACGGCCCAGACUCCUACGGGAGGCAGCAGUGGGGAAUAUUGCACAAUGGGCGAAAGCCUGAUGCAGCGACGCCGCGUGAGGGAUGACGGCCUUCGGGUUGUAAACCUCUUUCAGCAGGGAAGAAGCGAAAGUGACGGUACCUGCAGAAGAAGCGCCGGCUAACUACGUGCCAGCAGCCGCGGUAAUACGUAGGGCGCAAGCGUUGUCCGGAAUUAUUGGGCGUAAAGAGCUCGUAGGCGGCUUGUCACGUCGGUUGUGAAAGCCCGGGGCUUAACCCCGGGUCUGCAGUCGAUACGGGCAGGCUAGAGUUCGGUAGGGGAGAUCGGAAUUCCUGGUGUAGCGGUGAAAUGCGCAGAUAUCAGGAGGAACACCGGUGGCGAAGGCGGAUCUCUGGGCCGAUACUGACGCUGAGGAGCGAAAGCGUGGGGAGCGAACAGGAUUAGAUACCCUGGUAGUCCACGCCGUAAACGGUGGGCACUAGGUGUGGGCAACAUUCCACGUUGUCCGUGCCGCAGCUAACGCAUUAAGUGCCCCGCCCUGGGGAGUACGGCCGCAAGGCUAAAACUCAAAGGAAUUGACGGGGGCC
rnacentral:rRNA from 1 species